rnacentral:rRNA from 1 species
UACGUAGGUGGCGAGCGUUGUCCGGAUUUACUGGGCGUAAAGGGAGCGUAGGCGGAUUUUUAAGUGAGAUGUGAAAUACCCGGGCUCAACUUGGGUGCUGCAUUUCAAACUGGAGGGCUAGAGUGCGGGAAGGGAGAGUAGAAUUCCUGGUGUAGCGGUGAAAUGCGUAGAUAUCAGGAGGAAUACCGGUGGUGUAGACGGCUCUCUGGACCGCGACUGACGCUGAGACACGAAAGCGUGGGUAGCAAACAGG